CGUCGUCCCGAACGAUUCCCCACCCCGAUGCGCCUCCCUCUCCUCCCAGCGCGCCGCCGCCGCGGCCUCCCCGUCCCCCAGCGCGCGCUGCCGCGGCCACCCUCUCUCCCAGCUCGCCGCCGCCGCGGCCUCCCCGUCCCCCAGCGCACGCUGCCGCGGCAACCCUCUCUCCCAGCUCGCCGCCGCCGCGGCCUCCCCCUCCCCCAGCGCGCGCCGCCGCGGCCACCCCUCCCCCAGCUCGCCGCCGCCGCGGCCACCCCUCCCCCAGCUCGCCGCCGCCGCGACCAGCCCCUCCACCGCAUCAGCUCCCAGGACGUUCAGAGCCGCCAACCAGUCCGUUCACCACCGCGAACAGAGCCCGUUCAACGACGCAGCGGUUCGAUGUGUGACACGCUGCCCUGCCCUGACGUGCAGCCGACGCGCACCAUCCCAUCGUCGGCGCGACCUCUGCCACGUCGGGUCGCAGCCCCAGCCACCCAGCGCGCCGCUCGCGCAGAUCGCCUGCGUGCUGGUGGCGAGCGUCUCCUUGUCUCGUACUCCUGCUGAACUCGGGCUCCUCUGCCCAGGCCCUUGUCUUCGCAGCACUUGCGCGGUCAUCCGGCAGCGGCGGCGCCAAUGGAUCCAACGAUGUUAGCCUCCGGCAGCGGCGGCGCUUCUGGCUACCCUGACGUGCCCCACUCCAGCUCCUCCCCUUCCCGGCGAGCCUCCCAUGCCACAGUUUCUCUGUCUCUCUCUCUCUCAAGAACGUGUUCUGUUGGACAGUUCGAGUGCAUCAUCCUCCGUGCUAGUAAUAAUGUGUACACAUCAGUGCAUAUGUGCUACUAGUGUACAUGCGAAUUGUCCUGUGCUAGUACAAUCAUUUCCAUCUUCCGAUGGACAGUUCAAGUACAAAACACCUACCUCUCGCUGAUCCCCUGCCUUACUCUACUUUGUUUAAUCCUGUGAGAGUUAGCUACAAAAGAUAGCAUAGCUAAAAAUCCUUCAUGCUGAACCAUGUAUUUUUACCUAAACAAACUUUUAAAACAACUAUUGUGCAGGUGAACAAAUUUACUGUUUGAGGCUCCCUGCUGGAUGUCGGUGCCGGAGGCGAACAGACACCAUCGUCUCCCCGCGCCCAUAGACUUCUCUUCUCUCCUGCAACGCAAGUGUAGGAGUAGCAGCCACGUCAUGGAUGGUGAAAUGCGAACAAGGUUUCAGUCGGGGUGGUCUACACCAACUACCUUCAGCUAGGAGGACAGAAAAUAGUAGUAGGAUGAAUACAUUGGCCUUACCGGUCUGUCCAGCAACUUCAUUCCACGCCAGUACAUGCAAUGCUAUGUUUUUUCUUUGCUAGUAUCAUGUGCAUCCUCGAGUCCUAAUACGAGUCAUGUUUACCCUGUAGUUAUGUUCCUAUGUUUGGAGAGACGAACUAUGAUCCGAGCCGUCAGUACGCGCCUAUACCGACGGGAGAACAACUUGAGGCACUUGGAAAAGGCAUAGAGAAGAGGAAUAUCUUCCUAGGACUCACUCUUCACUGACAAAGACAAGAAGACCGGCAGCAUCCUCAGCCAGGUGUGCACGGUGAGCGGCUACUGAACUAGCACAAAGGAUACCAAGCAGGCUAAGGGUGAAGUACACGAUGCAGGCAAUGAGGAGAACAAAAACAUGCAAUCCGUACACAUAGAAGCAGCUGCAAGUUCUUUUGUCUAUGAUGAUAUGAUUGCUACUCCCUCCGUUCGGAAUUACUUGUCGCAGAAAUGGAUGUAUCUAGACGUAUUUUAGUUCUAGAUACAUCCAUUUCCGAGACAAGUAAUUCCGAACGGAGGGAGUACUUCUUAAAAGAAAGUGUACAUGAUAGUUUGAUGUUUCUACAAGAAAGGAAAAAAUGGUUUGAAUUUAAAACAUUGAUCAGUACAGAUAAAAACAAUUAUUAGUUCGAGUGCUCUCUCCUGCCUAUGUUGGUUGAUGUCCACGGACGGACAAGAAAUUGUAUGGAAUGUUCAAUUAUUACUAGCAUAUAAGUUUAGAUAAUAAA